rnacentral:rRNA from 1 species
GGGUUGUGAGGUUAAGCGACUAAGCGUACACGGUGGAUGCCCUGGCAGUCAGAGGCGAUGAAGGACGUGCUAAUCUGCGAAAAGCGUCGGUAAGGUGAUAUGAACCGUUAUAGCCGGCGAUGUCCGAAUGGGGAAACCCAGUGCAAUUCGUUGCACUAUCGUUAACUGAAUACAUAGGUUAACGAGGCGAACCGGGGGAACUGAAACAUCUAAGUACCCCGAGGAAAAGAAAUCAACCGAGAUUCCCCCAGUAGCGGCGAGCGAACGGGGAGCAGCCCAGAGUCUGAAUCAGCUUGUGUGUUAGUGGAACGGUCUGGAAAGUCCGACGGUACAGGGUGAUAGUCCCGUACACCAAAAUGCACAGGCUGUGAACUCGAAGAGUAGGGCGGGACACGUGGUAUCCUGUCUGAAUAUGGGGGGACCAUCCUCCAAGGCUAAAUACUCCUGACUGACCGAUAGUGAACCAGUACCGUGAGGGAAAGGCGAAAAGAACCCCGGCGAGGGGAGUGAAAAAGAACCUGAAACCGUGUACGUACAAGCAGUGGGAGCACCUUCGGGUGUGACUGCGUACCUUUUGUAUAAUGGGUCAGCGACUUAUAUUCUGUAGCAAGGUUAACCGUAUAGGGGAGCCGCAGGGAAACCGAGUCUUAACUGGGCGUUAAGUUGCAGGGUAUAGACCCGAAACCCGGUGAUCUAGCCAUGGGCAGGUUGAAGGUUGGGUAACACUAACUGGAGGACCGAACCGACUAAUGUUGAAAAAUUAGCGGAUGACUUGUGGCUGGGGGUGAAAGGCCAAUCAAACCGGGAGAUAGCUGGUUCUCCCCGAAAGCUAUUUAGGUAGCGCCUCGUGAAUUCAUCUUCGGGGGUAGAGCACUGUUUCGGCUAGGGGGUCAUCCCGACUUACCAACCCGAUGCAAACUACGAAUACCGAAGAAUGUUAUCACGGGAGACACACGGCGGGUGCUAACGUCCGUCGUGAAGAGGGAAACAACCCAGACCGCCAGCUAAGGUCCCAAAGUCAUGGUUAAGUGGGAAACGAUGUGGGAAGGCACAGACAGCCAGGAUGUUGGCUUAGAAGCAGCCAUCAUUUAAAGAAAGCGUAAUAGCUCACUGGUCGAGUCGGCCUGCGCGGAAGAUGUAACGGGGCUAAACCAUGCACCGAAGCUGCGGCAGCGACACUAUGUGUUGUUGGGUAGGGGAGCGUUCUGUAAGCCUGCGAAGGUGUGCUGUGAGGCAUGCUGGAGGUAUCAGAAGUGCGAAUGCUGACAUAAGUAACGAUAAAGCGGGUGAAAAGCCCGCUCGCCGGAAGACCAAGGGUUCCUGUCCAACGUUAAUCGGGGCAGGGUGAGUCGACCCCUAAGGCGAGGCCGAAAGGCGUAGUCGAUGGGAAACAGGUUAAUAUUCCUGUACUUGGUGUUACUGCGAAGGGGGGACGGAGAAGGCUAUGUUAGCCGGGCGACGGUUGUCCCGGUUUAAGCAUGUAGGCUGGUUGUCCAGGCAAAUCCGGAUAAUCAAGGCUGAGGUGUGAUGACGAGGCACUACGGUGCUGAAGUAACAAAUGCCCUGCUUCCAGGAAAAGCCUCUAAGCAUCAGGUAACAUCAAAUCGUACCCCAAACCGACACAGGUGGUCAGGUAGAGAAUACCAAGGCGCUUGAGAGAACUCGGGUGAAGGAACUAGGCAAAAUGGUGCCGUAACUUCGGGAGAAGGCACGCUGGUGUGUAGGUGAAGUCCCUGCGGAUGGAGCUGAGACCAGUCGAAGAUACCAGCUGGCUGCAACUGUUUAUUAAAAACACAGCACUGUGCAAACACGAAAGUGGACGUAUACGGUGUGACGCCUGCCCGGUGCCGGAAGGUUAAUUGAUGGGGUUAUCCGUAAGGAGAAGCUCUUGAUCGAAGCCCCGGUAAACGGCGGCCGUAACUAUAACGGUCCUAAGGUAGCGAAAUUCCUUGUCGGGUAAGUUCCGACCUGCACGAAUGGCGUAAUGAUGGCCAGGCUGUCUCCACCCGAGACUCAGUGAAAUUGAACUCGCUGUGAAGAUGCAGUGUACCCGCGGCAAGACGGAAAGACCCCGUGAACCUUUACUAUAGCUUGACACUGAACAUUGAGCCUUGAUGUGUAGGAUAGGUGGGAGGCUUUGAAGCGUGGACGCCAGUCUGCGUGGAGCCAACCUUGAAAUACCACCCUUUAAUGUUUGAUGUUCUAACGUUGGCCCCUUACCGGGGUUGCGGACAGUGUCUGGUGGGUAGUUUGACUGGGGCGGUCUCCUCCCAAAGCGUAACGGAGGAGCACGAAGGUUAGCUAAUCCUGGUCGGACAUCAGGAGGUUAGUGCAAUGGCAUAAGCUAGCUUGACUGCGAGCGUGACGGCGCGAGCAGGUGCGAAAGCAGGUCAUAGUGAUCCGGUGGUUCUGAAUGGAAGGGCCAUCGCUCAACGGAUAAAAGGUACUCCGGGGAUAACAGGCUGAUACCGCCCAAGAGUUCAUAUCGACGGCGGUGUUUGGCACCUCGAUGUCGGCUCAUCACAUCCUGGGGCUGAAGUAGGUCCCAAGGGUAUGGCUGUUCGCCAUUUAAAGUGGUACGCGAGCUGGGUUUAGAACGUCGUGAGACAGUUCGGUCCCUAUCUGCCGUGGGCGCUGGAGAAUUGAGGGGGGCUGCUCCUAGUACGAGAGGACCGGAGUGGACGCAUCACUGGUGUUCGGGUUGUCAUGCCAAUGGCACUGCCCGGUAGCUAAAUGCGGAAGAGAUAAGUGCUGAAAGCAUCUAAGCACGAAACUUGCCCCGAGAUGAGUUCUCCCUGAGACUUUAAGUCUCCUGAAGGAACGUUAAAGACGAUGACGUUGAUAGGCCGGGUGUGUAAGCGCAGCGAUGCGUUGAGCUAACCGGUACUAAUGAACCGUGAGGCUUAACCUUACAACGCCGAAG